GGGCGGGGAAAUUGAGAAAGACAGGGGCGAAGGAAAUGUAAAGGCGGAGGGAGGGCCGGACAGAAAGGGUUGAAGAAGGAGAGGAAGAAGGACGCCGGAUCAGAGGAGGCAGAGGCAGAGAGAGUGAAAGAUGGAGAAGUGGGACAAGUGCGGUCAGACGUCGACAGCGAUGCCGCUGAAAUUCGGCCCAGAGCCGAGGGAGGAAGACUGACUGGCGGAGAUGUCCAUCGCACAUGUGCAAAGUCUAAAUGCUUGAAGAUGCCUGGCAGUGCAGAUCAGGAGGGUCCCAUUUUGGAAAGGAGACUGAAUGCACAGUCCAAUCACAAAAACCGAUGAAUGUGAAGAGGACUGUGGGAUGUAGAAGAAGCAACUGAGUGCAGAUGUUUUCCAGCUGGUGCUGUAAGUAGAUUGAUGUGAUUUCAUUUCAUACUAUCAGUAUUAAAUUUCAGAUUACAGAGAUAAACUCAUCACAUAAUGUGAUGUUAUGUUAUGUUAGCAGUGACAAAAAAGGAAAUCUCCUGAACCACUGAAAUGCAGCUGUUGCUCUUAUGUGUCUCCUCUGUGUUUUAUCUUUGAUAUCAUUGCCAUGUGUGUAAUUGUAUUAAGAGUACAAGUAAUAAA